AUGAACCAAAUAAGUCUUAUUUCUCAUACUUUGAGACAUUAUAUUUGCAUAUCAAGACAGCAAUCAAAGUUAGGUUUGUAUUCAUACAUUAAAACAAACUAAAAAUGUUUUUAUGCUAUCAAUUUAUUGAGAAGUUUCAUGGCCCUUACAUCCACAUAUUGACAAAUAUAAAUUCACUUAAUUUGCAUCUGCACUCAAAUUGAUCUCUGUAGAUUCUGUCAUUCUUGAUGCACUUGUGGUACUUAAAUUGUCCUCAACAUCAUCGACUGGUAUUUGCUGUGGAUAUAAGAAAGGCUUUGGAGGUAUUUGGAGGCUCUCAAUUUCUCCUUCAAGCAUUUCUACUACUAUGCUCAUUGAAGGGCGUUCAAUAGGUUUCAUUUGUAUGCACCACAAUGCCACUAUGAUCAUCUUCUUUAUGAUUUUCAUUUCAUCUUCAGUGGCAUCUCCUAUUUCGAUCUCCUUCCCUUGAUUCAAUUGAUCAGCAACCCAUGUAGGAAAGUAGAUUUGGCUAAAUUCGCUUGAAUGACCUAUGGCUGCAUUCAAGUUCUUCCUUCUACCUGCCAUUUCCAACAUUAACAUUCCAAAACUAUAUACAUCUGCUUUGUAUGAUACACCUCCAAUGUUUUUGUAGAAUAACUCUGGAGCCAUGUAUCCUAUGGUUCCUCUUGCUG
rnacentral:lncRNA from 1 species